GCCUGGAGCAUAGUCGUAGCUCAGGGACAGGACAUCUGCCUUGCAUGCAGAAGGUCCCAGGUUCAAUCCUUGACAUCUCCAGGCA